rnacentral:rRNA from 1 species
GCAGCCGCCGCGGUAAUACGAAGGGGGCUAGCGUUGCUCGGAAUCACUGGGAGUAAGGGGUGCGUAGGCGGGUCUUUAAGUCAGGGGUGAAAUCCCAAGGCUCAACCUUGGAACUGCCUUUGAUACUGUUUGUCUUGAGUUCGAGAGAGGUAAGUGGAACUGCGAGUGUAGAGGUGAAAUUCGUAGAUAUUCGCAAGAACACCGGUGGCGAAGGCGGCUUACUGGCUCGAAACUGACGCUGAGGCGCGAAAGCGUGGGUAGCAAACAGGAUUAGAUACCCGAGUAGUCCCUGUCUCUUAUAC